UGGCAUGUUGGAAUCAAAAAAAAAUCAUGCUUCUCAUUGCAAUAGAAGUAUGAAUAUAGCCAGUACAUGCUACAUAAAACAUAGGAGUUUUCAGGGCUGCCAACCUUCCAGUAAAGGUUGAGUAGUAGUAUAUUUCUCCUACAUCA
rnacentral:snoRNA from 1 species